GAGAGAUGGUCGAGUUGGUUUAAGGCAGCGGUCUUGAAAACCGCCGACCCGCAAGGGUCCGUGGGUUCGAAUCCCACUCUCUCC
rnacentral:tRNA from 1 species